ANNGGCGNCCUANCAUGCAGUUCGAGCGGACAGAAGGGAGCUUGCUCCCGGAUGUUAGCGGCGGACGGGUGAGUAACACGUGGGUAACCUGCCUGUAAGACUGGGAUAACUCCGGGAAACCGGAGCUAAUACCGGAUAGUUCCUUGAACCGCAUGGUUCAAGGAUGAAAGACGGUUUCGGCUGUCACUUACAGAUGGACCCGCGGCGCAUUAGCUAGUUGGUGGGGUAAUGGCUCACCAAGGCGACGAUGCGUAGCCGACCUGAGAGGGUGAUCGGCCACACUGGGACUGAGACACGGCCCAGACUCCUACGGGAGGCAGCAGA
rnacentral:rRNA from 1 species